rnacentral:rRNA from 1 species
UCACUAGGCGGAGCCUCGUCGCACCCUGAACCCCUUUGUGAACUUAUACCUAUCUGUUGCCUCGGCGCAGGCCGGCUUCUUCACUGAAGCCCCCUGGAGACAGGGAGCAGCCCGCCGGCGGCCAACUAAACUCUUGUUUCUACAGUGAAUCUCUGAGUAAAAAACAUAAAUGAAUCAAAACUUUCAACAACGGAUCUCUUGGUUCUGGCAUCGAUGAAGAACGCAGCGAAAUGCGAUAAGUAAUGUGAAUUGCAGAAUUCAGUGAAUCAUCGAAUCUUUGAACGCACAUUGCGCCCUCUGGUAUUCCGGAGGGCAUGCCUGUUCGAGCGUCAUUUCAACCCUCAAGCCUGGCUUGGUGAUGGGGCACUGCCUGUAAAAGGGCAGGCCCUGAAAUCUAGUGGCGAGCUCGCCAGGACCCCGAGCGUAGUAGUUAUAUCUCGCUUUGGAAGGCCCUGGCGGUGCCCUGCCGUUAAACCCCCAACUUCUGAAAAUUUGACCUCGGAUCAGGUAGGAAUACCCGCUGAACUUAAGCAUAUCAUUUAAGCGGAGGAGUAGGUGAACGCGCCGGAGCACAAACUUGCAAAGGAAACAAUCGUUGCGGGCGGCCUUCCGCACCUGAACAGGGGGAGCCGGCCUAAUUUUUUCAUGUAAUCGAAUAAAAAUAAAUAACAAUUACGAUCUGGGUCUGCUAUA